rnacentral:rRNA from 1 species
AUUGAACGCUGGCGGCAUGCCUUACACAUGCAAGUCGAACGGCAGCACAGGUGCUUGCACCUGGUGGCGAGUGGCGAACGGGUGAGUAAUACAUCGGAACAUGUCCUGUAGUGGGGGAUAGCCCGGCGAAAGCCGGAUUAAUACCGCAUACGAUCUACGGAUGAAAGCGGGGGACCUUCGGGCCUCGCGCUAUAGGGUUGGCCGAUGGCUGAUUAGCUAGUUGGUGGGGUAAAGGCCUACCAAGGCGACGAUCAGCAGCUGGUCUGAGAGGACGACCAGCCACACUGGGACUGAGGCACGGCCCAGACUCCUACGGGAGGCAGCAGUGGGGAAUUUUGGACAAUGGGCGAAAGCCUGAUCCAGCAAUGCCGCGUGUGUGAAGAAGGCCUUCGGGUUGUAAAGCACUUUUGUCCGGAAAGAAAUCCUUGGCCCUAAUACGGUCGGGGGAUGACGGUACCGGAAGAAUAAGCACCGGCUAACUACGUG